rnacentral:rRNA from 1 species
GAUGAACGCUGGCGGCGUGCCUAAUACAUGCAAGUCGAGCGAACAGACGAGGAUCUUGCUCCUCUGACGUUAUCGGCGGACGGGUGAGUAACACGUGGAUAACCUACCUAUAAGACUGGGAUAACUUCGGGAAACCGGAGCUAAUACCGGAUAAUAUAUUGAACCGCAUGGUUCAAUAGUGAAAUACGGUUUUUCUGUCACUUAUAGAUGGAUCCGCCCCGCAUUAGCUAGUUGGUAAGGUAACGGCUUACCAAGGCAACGAUGCGUAGCCGACCUGAGGGGGAGAUCGGCCACACUGGAAGUGAGACACGGUCCAGACUCCUACGGGAGGCAGCGGUAGGGAAUCUUCCGCAAAGGGGGAAAGCCUGACGGAGCAACGCCGCGUGAGUGAUGAAGGUCUUCGGAUCGUAAAACUAUGUUAUUAGGGAAGAACAAAUGUGUAAGUAACUAUGCACGUAUUGACGGUACCUAAACAGAAAGCCACGGCUAACUACGUG